GUACCUGUGAAAGGAAGAGGAGAAGCAGGAUUGGACAGAGGAAGAAGUCCAACUGUGAAUCAGACCUGAAGAAGCCUCAGCCAGCCCUGUGGAGAGCUCUGGAGCUAUCCCAGGAAGGACAUGACCUCCGGUGAAGUGACUCCAUUGCUGUAACACACCCUGAAGAAGCUGAUGGAGGCCAUUGACUGCAGGCUCUGCCACUGGGCAGCAGGCCCUUCCUUGAAGGGAGAUCUAGGCGGCACAUUUCCAUGUUUACCACAGGAGAUAAGAGGCAACAGAAUCUAGUGUGCAAGUGGAGGAAUUGUCCUUGGAUGAAACAGUGGACAGUUUCUACAGGGUAACAAGAGGAAACAUGGAGGAUACAGCUGCAGGGACUGUCUUAUUCAUCAUGGUAUUCUCAACACCUGAAGUGGGGGCCACACACAUAGCUCCUUUGAUCUUAUAGAUCCACUAUCUCAACACAGGCCCUUGGUGUUCAUGGUGGUAGGGGAAAACAACAGGAGGAGAACUCAUUCCUGCUCUUCUAUGAUUCUGCUCAUUGGUCAUGGCCAAAUCAGUCAUAUGACCCCACCUAACUGCAAAGAAUCUAGGCAAUAUGGGGCACACAUGGAAUAGCUGGUGAGCUUUGCUGUCUCUGCACAGAAGGGGAUAAUAACUGCAAUCAGAUAAGGGAAUCAAACCUGGAUUUCUCAGUCCAUGAGGCGACACUCAGUCCACUGAACCACCCAGGCCAGGCACCAUCCCCUUCUUUCAAAAAUGUUUUCUCUUCACCUGCAUGACAUUAAACUUCCUACUCUUCUGCUGGCUGUCCUGUGCCUGUUGGCCUAAAAAAUGUUGGUGUUCUUCAGGGAUCUAUUUAUGCCCUUGGUUUUUUCCUUAUGCACGAUUUCCCUGGGUGUUCUCAUCCACACCCAUGGUAUC